rnacentral:rRNA from 1 species
GACGAACGCUGGCGGCGUGCCUAAUACAUGCAAGUCGAGCGGACAGAAGGGAGCUUGCUCCCGGAAGUUAGCGGCGGACGGGUGAGUAACACGUGGGCAACCUACCCUGUAGAUCGGGAUAACAUCGAGAAAUCGGUGCUAAUACCGGAUAAUCAUUUGAAGUGCAUGCUUCGAAUGUAAAAGAUGGCUCCGGCUAUCACUGCGGGAUGGGCCCGCGGCGCAUUAGCUAGUUGGUAAGGUAAUGGCUUACCAAGGCAACGAUGCGUAGCCGACCUGAGAGGGUGAUCGGCCACACUGGGACUGAGACACGGCCCAGACUCCUACGGGAGGCAGCAGUAGGGAAUCUUCCGCAAUGGACGAAAGUCUGACGGAGCAACGCCGCGCGAGUAAUGAAGGUUUUCGGAUCGUAAAGCUCUGUUGUUAGGGAAGAACAAGUGCCGUUUGAAUAAGGCGGCACCUUGACGGUACCUAACCAGAAAGCCACGGCUAACUACGUGCCAGCAGCCGCAGUAACAC